rnacentral:rRNA from 1 species
UUCAGAGGUCCCGAGCGUUGUUCGGAUUUACUGGGCGUAAAGGGAGCGUAGGCGGUUCGGUAUGUCGAAUGUGAAAGCCCACAACUCAACUGUGGAAAUGCAUUCGAAACUGCCGGGCUAGAGUACUGGAGAGGAGAGCGGAAUUCUUGGUGUAGCGGUGAAAUGCGUAGAUAUCAAGAGGAACACCGGUGGCGAAGGCGGCUCUCUGGACAGAUACUGACGCUGAGGCUCUAAAGUUAGGGGAGCAAACAGGAUUAGAUACUCGGGUA